rnacentral:rRNA from 1 species
GAUGAACGCUGGCGGCGUGCUUAACACAUGCAAGUCGAACGGAAAGGCCCUGCUUUUGUUGGUUUCUCGAUUGGCGAACGGGUGAGUAUCACGUGUGUAACCUGCCCUUGUCUUUGUGAUAACUUCAGGAAACUGGGGCUAAUACCCGAUAUGAGCUCCUGCUGCAUGUUGGUGGUUGGAAAGUUUCGGCGGUUGGGGAUGUACUCGCGGCUUAUCAGCUUGUUUGUGUGGUAGUGGCUUACCAAGGGUUUGACGGGUAGCCGGCCUGGGAGGGGGACCGGCCACAUGGGGACUGAGAUACGGAGCAGACUCCUACGGGAGGCAGCAGUGGGGAAUAUUGCACAAUGGGCGGAAGCCUGAUGCAGAAACGCCGCGUGCGGGAUGACGGCCUUCGGGUUGUAAACAGAUGUCGACGGUGACGAAGAGUGAGUGACGGUAAUGGGUAAAGAAGCAACGGCUAACUACGUG